rnacentral:rRNA from 1 species
UUCCGGUUGAUCCUGCCGGACCCUACUGCUAUCGGGAUGGGACUAAGACAUGCUAGUCGUGCGCCUCCAAGCCAUGGUGGAGGCGCGGCGCACAGCUCAGUAACACGUGGUUAACCUGCCCUUGGGACGGAAACACCCCCGGGAAACUGGGGCUAUUUCGAUAGGUGAAGGGCUCUGGGAAUGAAUCUUCGCCUAAUGGCGCUUAGGCCAUGCUCUAGGCGCUGCCAAGAUGGGGCCGCGGCCGAUCAGGUUGUUGGUGAGGUAAUGGCUCACCAAGCCUUUAACCGGUUCGGGCCGUGGGAGCGGGAGCCCGGAGAUGGGCACUGAGACAAGGGCCCAGGCCCUACGGGGCGCAGCAGUCGCGAAAACUCCGCAAUACGCGAAGGCGUGACGGGGCUAUCCCGAGUGCCGUCCGCUGAGGAUGGCUUUUCCCUAGUGUAGAUAGCUGGGGGAAUAAGGAGAGGGCAAGUCUGGUGUCAGCCGCCGCGGUAAUACCAGCUCUCCGAGUGGUGGGGACGUUUAUUGGGCCUGAAGCAUCCGUAGCCAGCUGAGCAAGUCCCCAGUUAAAUCCAGCGAUUUAAUCGUUGGACUGCUGGGGAUACUGUCCGGCUAGGGGGUGGGAGAGGCCGACGGUAUUCCCGGGUAGGGGUGAAAUCCUAUAAUCCCGGGAGGACCACCAGUGGCGAAGGCUGUUGGCUAAACAUGCCCGACGGUGAGGGAUGAAAGCUGGGGGAGCGACCGGAUUAGAUACCCGGGUAGUCCCAGCUGUAAACGAUGCAGGCUAGGUGUUAGGGCGGCCACGUGCCGCUCUAGUGCCGCAGGGAAGCUGUUAAGCCUGCCGCCUGGGAAGUACGGUCGCAAGGCUGAAACUUAAAGGAAUUGGCGGGA